UGGCUCAGAACGAACGCUGGCGGCAUGCCUAACACAUGCAAGUCGAACGAGACCUUCGGGUCUAGUGGCGCACGGGUGCGUAACGCGUGGGAAUUUGCCCUCUGGUUCGGAUAAAUUCAGGGAAACUUGAGCUAAUACCGGAUGUGCCCUUCGGGGGAAAGAUUUAUCGCCAUUGGAGCGGCCCGCGUAGGAUUAGCUAGUUGGUGGGGUAACGGCCCACCAAGGCGACGAUCCAUAGCUGGUCUGAGAGGAUGAUCAGCCACACUGGGACUGAGACACGGCCCAGAGUCCUACGGGAGGCAGCUGUGGGAUCU
rnacentral:rRNA from 1 species